ACACCUCUGAUCUUCAGCUCUCCAGCAACCUGUGACCUUCACCUGUGACCACACCCAGCCGCCUACCUGAACAGAGAUGGGGAACAUUCAUAUUUCCAAUGCGACUGCAAAACCCAUGAUUGCCUACUACAGCAAGGACCCGAUCGAUGACAAAGAGAAGGAAAAAGCCGAAUCUGUGAAAAUCCCUGCCAAAAGCUUCAUCCAAUGUUCCUCAGAUGAGCCGAUGUAUGUCGUUGUGUAUUACGAGGAAGGCAACCAUGUCACAGACAGCGCCUACAUUAACUCCAAUCACUCUGUUUUGUUCACUGAUGCUGGGAAAGUCUUGCUUUCAAACACUGGUACAAUUUCAGCCUAGUGACAAGAAAGACACAGCCAGUCACCAAGCUGGGGCACACUGUGUACAUGCUGAAGAUCAGCCAGUGACCAACACCCCUCCACUUAUAUCAAAGCAAAAUUGAUGAGCAUUUGGUGGAUGGUCGUAUAAUAUCUGUAAACCUUUUGACUUCUUCUUCUGCUGCUUAAUAAACUGAAGCAAUCAUAUAAAGGC